UGGUGUUGGUGCUUGGCAGGAGAUGGUUGUGCACGAAGCUGGGUUCUGGAUGAACUCAGGUUCGGCCGCCGAAGGGAGGAUUCGGCCGCCGAACCCCUUGUGAAGGUAGUUUCGGCUGCCUAAGGUUGCCUCCGAAAGAAUGGACUUUCGGAUCUGUCCUGCACAUUCGGCCGCCGAAGAUGCCGCCGAAGGUGUCCUGCCUAGCUUUUCCUUUGCAUGUUUUCAGUGAUUGUUCUAUGAGUUUUUAGAGGGGUUUUGGGAAGAUGUUUAAGAAGUUAUAAGAGUAUGUUUGACACCUCAAUCGAGUCCUUUUGUGUAGGAUCGGACCCGACAGUUCAGGGAGGUCGUCAGGAUUAGCAGUUGCAGAGUCAGUCAGGUUUCUGCUUGAGGAGCAGAGGUGAGUAGAACUAAACUU
rnacentral:lncRNA from 1 species